GUCGAGAAUAAUUCACAAUGGGGGAAACCCUGAUGGUGCAACGCCGCGUGGAGGAUGAAGGUCUUCGGAUUGUAAACUCCUGUCAUCUGGGAGUAAGACCUGACGGUGAAUAGCCGGCAGGGUUGAUAGUACCAGAAGAGGAAGGGACGGCUAACUUCGUGCCAGCAGCCGCGGUAAUACGAAGGUCCCAAGCGUUGUUCGGAAUCACUGGGCGUAAAGGGUGCGUAGGCGGCGUGGUAAGUCAGAUGUGAAAUCCCGGGGCUCAACCUCGGAACUGCAUCCGAUACUGCCAUGCUUGAGGGCUGGAGAGGUAACUGGAAUUCUCGGUGUAGCAGUGAAAUGCGUGGAUAUCGAGAGGAACACUCGUGGCGAAGGCGAGUUACUGGACAGCAUCUGACGCUGAGGCACGAAGGCCAGGGGAGCGAAAGGGAUUAGAAACCCCAGUAGUCC
rnacentral:rRNA from 1 species